AUCAUUUCGGGGGACUGCUUGGCGCCUCUUCGGCGCCUCGAGCCCAAACGAUU
rnacentral:sRNA from 1 species